AAAAUUAAAAGGACGCGGUAACCUUGACCGUGAUAAUGUAGCAUAAUCAUUCGCCAUUUAAUUGAUGGAUAGUAUGAAUGGUUGAACGAAUAUUCCACUGUCUUAAAAAGAAAUAAAUAAAAAUUAGAAUAAUAGUAAAGAUACUAUUUAAUAUUGUAAGACGAAAAGACCCUAUAGAGCUUAACUAUAAUCUUCUUAUAUUUAAAGAAAACAUUUCAAAUAAUAAAAAGACUGGUAGUUUAGUUGGGGCGACUGUCUUUUAAAACAAACAAAGACAAGCAAAGUAAAUAAAAAAAACUUAUUGUAUAAUACAUUAAUUUAACAAUUAUAAAUAUAGGCUAUAAUGACCCGUUAUAAUUUAAUAAGAAAUAUAACGAUCAAUAAAUAAAAGCUACCUUAGGGAUAACAGGAUAAUUUUAUUCUAGAGAUCUAAUCGAAAAUAAAGUUUGUCACCUCUAUGUUGAAUUAAGA
rnacentral:rRNA from 1 species